CUGGGCGGCACGCACAGCAGCGGCCCGGCGCCAACGGGCCGCCUGGGGGCCCAGCGGGUGUCUGGGGCCACCCGCCUUCUCCUAAGCUUGGGGGGCAUGGGGGGGGCCGGCAGGCGGCAGGGGUCCCACCGAACCACCCCCCCGUCCCCAUCAGCUAGUAGCUGCCCCGGGGGCCCUGCAGGGCGGCCAAAGGUCCUGUUCCUCCACCGGGAACAGGGUGAGGACAGACGGCAGCUGGACGCCAGCCUGUGGGAAUGCGGUCCCGUCCGGGGCUGUCUGUCCCCCUCCCCCGCCCUGACCUUCGCUCCACACCGCCUGCUGACGUACCCGCCCUCGGCCGCAGCCUGGGAACCCCAACCUCAGGGCCGGCCUGGCCACAGCGCUCUGGGUCCUGCGUCCUGGACACCUGGCUGGACGUUUGUCCCUGAAAACAUUGCCACACACCCUGCAGUGUGGACAAACCCCGAAAGUAUGCUGAGUGUCCGUCUACCCGUCCUGUCUGUCUGUAUCUGUCUGUCCAUCCACCUGUCCUGUCUGCAUCUGUCCAUCUGUCCACCUGCCCUUUCUGUCUGUAUCUGUCUGUCCAUCCACCUGUCCCAUCUGUAUCUGUCCAUCUGUCCACUGGCCCUGUCUGUCUGUCUGUCCAUCUGUCCACCUGCCCUGUCUGUAUCUGUCCAUCCAUCCACCCCUCCUGUCUGUCUGCAUCUGUCUGUCCAUCCACCUGUCCCAUCUGUAUCUGUCCAUCUGUCCACCGGCCCUGUCUGUCUGUCCAUCUGUCCACCUGCCCUGUCUGUAUCUGUCCAUCCAUCCACCCCUCCUUUCUGUCUGUAUCUGUCUGUCCAUCCACCUGCCCUGUCUGUCUGCACCCGUUUGUCCGCGCCCCCUCCACAGACACACAGGCGAUAGAAUCGGAAGCAGCGCAAGCAGAGUCCGGGGCUGUUCACAGUUCAACACCAUUCUUCUCCUUUUUAAAUGCCCGUACCUAUUUUACGUUUUCGAAAUUGAACGUAAGUACGUAAUCGGUAAGUACGUCGCUCCCUGGACUCCUGACGCUCCCGGUAACCUAGCAGCCCUCGUCUCUGAGGACACGGGAACACCUGGCGCGGCCCGCCCGACGCACACACGCGUGCUCUGCGCUCCGAGGGCUUGUGGGGAGUUAGAAGGAAUCCACCGUCCUUGCCCUUUCUUACCC
rnacentral:lncRNA from 1 species